UCUGAAUUCACUCACUUCUUUUCAUUCACUCUGUCAAGUGGAUUAUAUUAGUGAACUAAUGUAGGGAAUAGUGAAUGAGGGUAUAGGGUGUGAUUUAGAACACAGCCUCUGAGUGUCGACUUUGAGCGAUGUUAACUCACAAUAUAUUCCUGUAGGCUAUUUUCUC